CAAGGUAUACUGUCGUGCCAAAGGUUGUACUCGUAGCAACAGCAUGAUGGUCUUUUUUCCCACCCCAAGUAUGUGAUGAUUCAUGAUUGGUCCGUCUUCUUGCCUGUCACUUCCGAACGGGGUGGUGGAUUCUUGUUUCUUUUGAGCUGUUGUCUGCAUUGUUACCUCAAUUGUUAGCAAGCUAACGGAGGAAUUUCCUGGAAUCCGCUGGUACCUGUGCUUACAGGGUUUCCAUGCAUACUGUAAAGUUGAAGAAGGUAGAGAUAGUAUCUACUUCCGACCAUCUCCUUUCAACCUCAAAUUGAUGAGUGUGUUCUUAUUUCAUUGUUACUUGGUAUGUUUGUUGAAUAUCAAUGCAUUUUGUUCUCAGAAGCAAACUUGACCUCUUUCAGGGAGUGUGCAACAGAGGACCUGUUUCUAGAGGGAAGUAUCAUGUAUGCAAAGCCAGUAGA
rnacentral:lncRNA from 1 species